rnacentral:rRNA from 1 species
UACGGAGGGGGCUAGCGUUGUUCGGAAUUACUGGGCGUAAAGCGCACGUAGGCGGCUUUGUAAGUUAGAGGUGAAAGCCCGGGGCUCAACCCCGGAAUUGCCUUUAAGACUGCAUCGCUAGAAUUGUGGAGAGGUGAGUGGAAUUCCGAGUGUAGAGGUGAAAUUCGUAGAUAUUCGGAAGAACACCAGUGGCGAAGGCGACUUACUGGACGAUUGUUGACGCUGAGGUGCGAAAGCGUGGGGAGCAAACAGG